AGGUAAACUGUAUUCUCCAAACACCCUUGGAAAGUGCUUCUCUUUCCAUUGUACUAGUCCUCAGCUGAGAUGGGGUCCCAUUGCACUAGGGGCUGUGCACGCACAUUGUCAUCUUGUGGGCACUGCAGGUAUCUAGCAGGAAGUAGGCUAGAGAUAGAGUGGGAACAGUUUAGAGUUUUUCUGAGGAAGAUACUGAAUCCGUCAUCAUCCAUUAUGUUGCAGAUGCAAUUGUUAAAGGAAAGAAAUUGCACUGACAGCUGAGACUCAUUGCUUCUCAGGAACUCUGUCAGUAGAAUAAAUGACAGUCCAUACCCCAAUAGCUUACAGUCCAAGUUAACACCUCUGAACUGCUUUCCGGUUAUCUACAGGUGUGAGGCAAAAGGAGAGAUCUCCCUGUUCAUCUGCUUGAAAACAGGCUAAGGACAAUAUUCCAGGUGUGGCACCUUCAGGUGAUUAGCUUGUCUUCAGUACCCUCCCUAACAGGAAGUUUUUCCUAGCAAAGUGUCCAUAUGCUCUAAUGAGCUCCAUGCUGGGGCAGGGAGGAUGUUGAGCUUAUUGCCAAGAUAAGGACUUGGUCUGCGGGAAGAAUAGAGCAAAGAAGCAGAGUGGAGCAUAUGUACUUGAUAAUCAACUGACACCUUAUUUCUGUGUGUGUGAAAGGAGCACUGAGGAGGCAGGAGAGAGAAGAAGAGGGGAUGUAGGAAAGGAUGAGUAGGAACGGGAAGUGGAUCUUUCCAGUGUCUCCUUAAACAUCUCUUGUAUAAGGUGGUAAAUCUGACUGCCUAAUUCCCAUGGGGACACAAUUAACUGCUUUUGGAAAUCCAAACGCUCUAUGUCUAGUUCAGAAGGAUUCUCUCCACUAUGAAAGACCAUGUCAAACUCAAUCUAUGACCAGUCUGCUGAAUGCAAGUUUUUCUAGCUAGGAAACAUCUUUUUAGACUUCAUGGUUGUGAACAUAACUUUUAAAUAAGCCCAUGCUUACAGUAUUAUAACUGAGUAAGGGGACUUGGUUUCACUAUUGUUGCAACUGGUAGCAUAGAGGGUGACCUAUUCUGGUUUAAAAAUCUGGAUGACCAGAAACAUUACCCUGGUAACAGGGAUGCUGUUUAGAAACUUGUACUAUAACAGCAUCCCCACUACUGUGAUAAAAGCCUUAAACUGUCUGGGAUUUUAAGCCAUUUACUUGGAUAUAGUUUGGUCACAUCUAUACUAACUAGGAACCCGGCUAGUGUAGUCGUAGCCCAAGUUCUGGAGCCAGAAGCCCUUCUUCUGAAAUUACAAUGGUGUAACUCCACAAAGUUGAAUUGCACCUGAUUUACACUAGUGAGAUCAGAACCAGGCCCACAAUAUGUCAAAACAAUCCUAUCAAGUCUCAAACAUACAUUUCUGCCACAUACAAAUAGUUCAUGAUGGCUUUGGCAUUCCUCUAAGUAGAGUUACUUAAAUUAAAGACUGAAAAAACAAAUACAGUAUCUUGGAACUGAAUGGUAAUUAGUAAGCUACCACUGAAAAGAGCCAUGAUAAAUAGUUAUUAAAAUGAGCAUUAUAAAAAAAAAAAUUUUUAGAA